UUCAGUAUGGAUGGAUCUCUGUUGGUGUCUAGAUCAGAGGAUGGAACGAUUCGAGUCUGGGAUACUAAAAACCACAUCACUCGCAUCUUUAGGCAUGGAAAAGAACAACUCAAUAUAUGCAUGGGAUGGUCUUGUUAAGCUGCACCAUUCUGUUAUGCAGAAGAAGCUGCAGUGGCAGAAGGAGAAGAUGGGAGAUGGAACUCACUUAUGUACUUCAUUCUCAAGUCAGUAAUUAGCACUAUAUACAAAGAGAUAUGGAAUAGUGAAUGGUAUAGUUGAAGUUGAAGGUGAGAAAGCUGAAGCAGUGUCUAUGGACCAAGAAGAUCAAUGACAA